UACGUAGGGCGCAAGCGUUAUCCGGAAUUAUUGGGCGUAAAGAGCUCGUAGGCGGUUUGUCGCGUCUGCCGUGAAAGCCCGGGGCUUAACCCCGGGUCUGCAGUGGAUACGGGCAGGCUAGAGUUCGGCAGGGGAGACUGGAAUUCCUGGUGUAGCGGUGAAAUGCGCAGAUAUCAGGAGGAACACCGGUGGCGAAGGCGGGUCUCUGGGCCGAUACUGACGCUGAGGAGCGAAAGCGUGGGGAGCGAACAGG
rnacentral:rRNA from 1 species